rnacentral:misc_RNA from 1 species
GAUGAAGAACGUAGUGAAAUGCGAUAAGUAAUGUGAAUUGCAGAAUUCAGUGAAUCAUCGAAUCUUUGAACGCACAUUGCGCCCGCCAGUAUUCUGGCGGGCAUGCCUGUUCGAGCGUCAUUACAACCCUCAGGCCCCCGGGCCUGGCGUUGGGAUCGGCGGAGCCCCCCGUGGGCACACGCCGUCCCCCAAAUGCAGUGGCGGUCCCGCCGCAGCUUCCAUCGCGUAGUAGCUAACACCUCGCGACUGGAGGGCGGCGCGGCCACGCCGUAAAACACCCAACUCUUCUGAAGUUGACCUCGAAUCAGGUAGGAAUACCCGCUGAACUUAAGCAUAUCAAUAAGCGGAGGA